AGAAUGGGACUAACAUUAAAGAGCUACAUUUGGAGUUUUAGACUUUUUUACUUUUAGUAGAGAGAAAAUCUUCUCUUACCCUUUUUUUUUUCUUGAGCUUUAGGCUCUUCUUCUAUCGGCUGUGUCUGGCCUUCCUUCGCACCAUCUAGAGAAAAGCCUUUCUUCCUCUAACUAGGGGAAAGCCUCUCUUCCUUUGACUCGGUGAUGGAUUUUCUCUUCCAAUCACCGGGUUGGGGUGUUCCUCCAUCAUUUUUGGGCUUCGUAUGUGUUCCUUUGUUUUAUUUUACUUUAGUGAGACUAAAUCGGAGAUGGAGUCUUAGCAUUUCUGAAGUUCCUUAGUCGUUCUUGCUUCUAAGACGGCCGACCUUCAAAGACACAAAAAGCAUUCGUGAAGCACUACUUGGUUCCCUCUCUGGAGCUUUCAAUGACGGAUUUGGCUUGAUUUUCUUCUCUGGAGCUGAUCUUCUUUGCACCUGUGGCGUCGUUUUUGGUGGAGCCUCUUGUUCUUCAAUUUGUGGCUAGCUUCGGCUUUGGUGGCUAGAUUUGAUUGCAGCUAUAGGUUCAUUUGGUAGUAGAUCUGCUUUUGCAGGUCUAUACCUUGAUGGGUUAUAUCUCUUUUAGAAGAAGAAGAGCACUUUCUCAAUUUUUCUGAAGGCCUUCUGAGGGUGGUCCUUGGCCGGAGUGUUGUGGCGGCUACAAGUUCCAUACAAUGCUACUAGAGUUCUGUGUUUGAGUGGGUCGGAUUUUGUUGUAUUGGGCCUUUAUUUAUUGUUUUUUCUAUGUUUUUCAAGCCUUUUCAAUGUGCA